GAGGAGGAGGAGGAGGAGGCGGAGGCGGCUCCACCCUCACUGCCAGGACAGGCAGCAACACAAAACCGUUUGGCGUUUGCAGCCUCCACGUUGCAGGAGGGGUCAGAGCAGCCAGGCUGUGAGGAUGGGUGAGGGCAGCCCAGUAAAGGAGCGGUGACCACUCAUGAGGACCAAACCUAACAGGGGAAAGGUGCACGGUGGAGUUCCAAAGGAGCUGUCAGUCCCGAGCCGCCCGCUUUGGCCUGAACAAUAAGGAAAAAAAAAUUUUGAAAAAACUUCAAGAAGAAUUUCUCACAAAGUUGAGGAGGAUUCUUUACCAUCUGAGCCACCAAGGAAGCCCAAGAAUACUGGAGUGGGUUGCCAAGCUGUAUCUAGGCAUUCUGUAUCAUCCCAGUACAAAGCCUGAAAUGCAGAUUUUGUCAUGAAAUAAUCUAGAGCCAUCCAUGCAGAUGAGCAGGGAAAUGGAACUCCCACCUCAGGAAUAGAAGAUUCACCACUGAGUGUUCUGACCUGGAUUUUUGUCCAUCUUCUAAAGUAGCCAUAAGAACUCUCAGAAUAUCCAGGAUCCUGAAAAUACAUUCUGGACAGGAAAUAUAUAAACUAACAUAUGUUGUUAAUUUAAAAGAGAAUGUUUUCAUAGGAAAGGAAACAGUAAAGAAAUUUUAUGAAUCUAUACAGUGAUUAACAAGGGUUUUGGUAGAGUGAAAUUACUUUUACUCAUCAAAUGUGUUGAAGAAUCAAAUGCAGGAUAAACAAAGUGGGUUUUUGUUUUUUUGUUUUUUUUGACAGUGGGCAGUUUGUUUCUUAAAAUCAUGACCCCAAGGAAGAACUUUUUUGACUGAAAGCAAAUGGAUCAGAGAGAGAUAAAUUGCCUAAUUUCCUUCUCUGUUUAUAUUUGAUUUACUGAGAGGAGUUCUCCAUCUUUGGGAGAAUAUCCCUAUAAGGUGACAAUUAAUGGUAGUGCAAAAGUUAUAGUUCUUAGUAUAAAACCUGCCAUGGACAAGAAUUCUUGAAGAUAUGAAUGGGAAUAUUAAAAAUUUAGAAAUGGUGCUUGAUGCUCCACUAGAUAAAAUACUACCAUGAAUGGCUCUGAAA